CCUAUGAACUCCGAUCCCAUCUAAAACGAAAGUCUGUGUUCAUUGCUCCAGCAUCGACGGUUGGAGGUGACACUGCUUCAGACUGGUACUGACGAAUGGCUGGAGAGGGCUGGAUGGAGGACAGGUUCUGUAAGGAGAAGAGAAGGAAGAAAAGUGUAGACGAGGAGGAGGAAGGAUGAGGAAGAAAAUGAGGAGAAAAUGAUGAAGUAUGAUCGGGGGAGAAAAGGAGAAGAAGAAGAGUGGUAUGAGGAAAUAGGAAACAAACACACAGAUAUAAUACCACCUCCUGAAGGGACUCUACCUGACAACCACACACGUUUUGUAGGGAUAUUUUCAUAAAAUGCUAUUUUACGUUAACCUGAUAAAGAAUAGACUCGUGAUCACUUGCAUAUUCAUUGGGUUUUAAUUGAUGAAACAUUUAACCAGGGCUAAAAUUAUUUUUCCAGACAGUAUAAUUAUCUUGAAUAUUUCCAUAUUUAAUUGUUAAUAGAGACUGAUGAAGAAUAAGGUGCAAAGUUUGGAUUUCUAUGUGUGUCAAAUUCAACAGCUGUGCUCAGUUUUUCUCCUUACCUCCUGAAAAUGGCAAUUAAAGGUGAAUUUCCCACA